rnacentral:misc_RNA from 1 species
GGGCUGCAGAUACGCAUUCUUUGCGUGUACGUUAAUGUCAAAGUGGUUUCGAGCUUAAUC